GACAUUCUACUGGCUCUUCCAUCCUUCGUUUCAUUUCCGAUCCCAUCUCACUCUCCUUAAAAUCUUUCUCCUUCUCUCUGCUCUUUGUUUCAGCUGUAAUAUAGCUUACCGCCAAUGGCUAAANNNNNNNNNNNNNUGUUCGUCUCUGUCUCUGCCAGCAUUCAUAAUGUAGUAAGAGUAACGGAUAACCCAGCUGAUCAACUGGUAGCUGUGCUUAACAGCAAUAGGACUGCACACAAGGGAUCAUCACUCUAUGACAAUCCAGGCCUAGCCUGCAUUGCAUUGCAGUACAUAAAAGCAUACCAAGGGG
rnacentral:misc_RNA from 1 species